UAUAAAGAUAUGUAUGAUUAUGCUAAAAGACCUUAAUUGAUUUUAAAAAUAAUACUUUAAAUUUUAAUAACAAUUAAGUUGAGUGCUAAAGUGAAGGUUAAGACAGAUUAUUAUAGGAAGGUGUUGGGGCAAAUGGGCAAGUGAACUGAGUCGAACAAGUAAUAUAAAAUGGUAAGACCAAAUAUCGUAUCCUAGAGGACUCUCGGCGCUGAACAGUUGUGUGAAAACAAGAUUAAUUAAGACUUAGAGUAAAAGAGAUCAUGGGUUUGUAUUGCAAAAAAUAAUAAAAUAAAGCAAAUUAAAAUUGAUUAGUGGCAAAAAGCACAGAGAUGAAUGAAGGUUGAUUUAUAUGAGAUGAGUAUGUUGUUGGGGUUAGAUUUCACCAAGUUCCCUCUCAUGUAUAUAAGAAUUCUUCUUUAUUCAUUAAUGCCAACGUCCCUCACUAAAACACUUAAACCCGAUGUCUCGGUAAGUAAGCCUAUCCCUAUUUACCAGUUCAUACAAUUCCUA
rnacentral:lncRNA from 1 species